rnacentral:rRNA from 1 species
GAUCAUGGCUCAGGAUGAACGCUAGCUACAGGCUUAACACAUGCAAGUCGAGGGGAAACGACAUCGAAAGCUUGCUUUUGAUGGGCGUCGACCGGCGCACGGGUGAGUAACGCGUAUCCAACCUGCCCACCACUUGGGGAUAACCUUGCGAAAGUAAGACUAAUACCCAAUGAUAUCUCUAGAAGACAUCUGAAGGAGAUUAAAGAUUUAUCGGUGAUGGAUGGGGACGCGU